UACGUAGGGUGCGAGCGUUAAUCGGAAUUACUGGGCGUAAAGGGUGCGCAGGCGGUUAUAUAAGACAGUUGUGAAAUCCCCGGGCUCAACCUGGGAACUGCAUCUGUGACUGUAUAGCUAGAGUACGGUAGAGGGGGAUGGAAUUCCGCGUGUAGCAGUGAAAUGCGUAGAUAUGCGGAGGAACACCGAUGGCGAAGGCAAUCCCCUGGACCUGUACUGACGCUCAUGCACGAAAGGCGUGGGGAGCAAACGAGGAU
rnacentral:rRNA from 1 species